GACGAACGCUGGCGGCGUGCUUAACACAUGCAAGUCGAAGAUUGUGGCGAACGGGUGAGUAAUACGUAGUAACCUGCCCUCCUUUUUGGGAUAAGCCUUGGAAACGGGGUCUAAUACCGAAUAACGGGGGAUGGGCUCGCGGCCUAUCAGCUUGUUGGUGGGGUAAUGGCCUACCAAGGCGACGAUACGUAACUGGUCUGAGAGGAUGAUCGGUCAAGCUGUGACGGAGACACGGUCCAGACUCCUACGGGAGGCAGCAGUAGGGAAUAUUGGACAAUGGGCGAAAGCCUGAUCCAGCCAUGCCGCGUGUGUGAAGAAGGUCUUCGGAUUGUAAAGCACUGUAGGUUGGGAGGCGUUACCAACAGAAUAAGCAACGGCUAACUUCGUGCCAGCAGCCGCGGUAAUAC
rnacentral:rRNA from 1 species